AUUGAACGCUGGCGGCAGGCCUAACACAUGCAAGUCGAGCGGAGCGGCGGCCGGGUGAGUAAUGCCUAGGAAUCUGCCUGGUAGUGGGGGAUAACGUCCGGAAACGGGCGCUAAUACCGCAUACUAUCAUAGUAACCUAGGUCGGCUUAGCUAGUUGUUGGGGUAAAGGCAUACCAAGGCUACGAUCAGUACCUGGUCUGAGAGGAUGAUCAGUCCCACGGGAACUUGGACCCGGUCCAGACUCCUACGGGAGGCAGAAGUGGGGAAUAUUGGACAAUGGGCGAAAGCCGGAGCCAGCCAUGCCGCGUGUGGGAAGAAGGUCUGCGGAUUGGAAAGCACGUUAAGUUGGGAGGCGUUACCAACAGAAUAAGCACCGGCUAACUUCGUGCCAGCAGCCGCGGUAAUUC
rnacentral:rRNA from 1 species